rnacentral:rRNA from 1 species
AUUGAACGCUGGCGGCAUGCUUUACACAUGCAAGUCGAACGGUAACAGGUCUUCGGAUGCUGACGAGUGGCGAACGGGUGAGUAAUGCAUCGGAACGUGCCCAGUCGUGGGGGAUAACGCAGCGAAAGCUGUGCUAAUACCGCAUACGAUCUAUGGAUGAAAGCGGGGGAUCGCAAGACCUCGCGCGAUUGGAGCGGCCGAUGCCUGAUUAGCUUGUUGGUGGGGUAAAAGCCCACCAAGGCGACGAUCAGUAGCUGGUCUGAGAGGACGAUCAGCCACACUGGGACUGAGACACGGCCCAGACUCCUACGGGAGGCAGCAGUGGGGAAUUUUGGACAAUGGGGGAAACCCUGAUCCAGCAAUGCCGCGUGAGUGAAGAAGGCCUUCGGGUUGU